UACGUAGGGUGCAAGCGUUGCCCGGAUUUAUUGGGCGUAAAGGGCGCGUAGGCGGCUCUGCGCGUUCGUUGUGAAAUCGCCCGGCUCAACUGGGCGGGGUCAGCGGAUACGGCAGAGCUUGAGCAAGCUAGGGGGCAAUGGAAUUCCCGGUGUAGUGGUGGAAUGCGUAGAUAUCGGGACGAACACCAGUGGCGAAGGCGGUUGCCUGGGGCUUUGCUGACGCUGAUGCGCGAAAGCGUGGGGAGCGAUCCGG
rnacentral:rRNA from 1 species